UCUAUUCAAUUUAGUCCAUGUCUCAGAAUGUCAAUCUCGAACAUAAUAAUUCAGUUCAAAUAGCCAUUGAGAACUCAUCUCAAUGUUAUAUCAUGCAAAACAUCAUAAAUAUCCAAUAAUUAAAUUGAUCCCGAGUCAUAGAAAUACAAAUCGGGUCUCGUGUCAUUCCUCAACAACUCUCGCUUUUGCUUUCCCUUUCGAUAGCCCAGCGUUGACAUUAGCUACGUACAAUCAUAUAACAUAUAUCAAUAUAAAAUUCCAGCCAAUUCACAAACAAUUAUUAAUUCAUGCAUAUUUUACAAUUUAUUCAAUUUAGUCCUUAAGCCCAAUAUAAGCAUAACUUUCAAUUCCUAGCUUUGGAUUGAAAUUCGAUUUCACAUAUUUUCAUCAAGGACCCUCUACUUCCUAUUCCUAUGGAAAUUUCAUAAUUUUUUAUAUUUUAUUCAAUUUGGUCCCCAAUGUACGAAAUAAAAAAUUAAGCUUUACAAUUUAAUCUUUUUUCAUAAAUUAAACUUAAUUUCUAUCAAUUUCACACAUAAUUCUUCAAGAAACCAACAAUGCAACUUUAUAAAAUUUUAACAGUUUCAAGAAAUUGGUACAUGGGAUAGCUAAAUUAAGCUCUCAUGAGUUCAAAUUCAUAAAAAUUACAAAAAAGAAAAAAAAAGACUUGAAUUCACAUACCAAUUUAAGGCUGUAUGUUACAAAAAUUUCUUAGGUUUUUCUUCUUUGGCAAAGACAAG
rnacentral:lncRNA from 1 species